UGUCCUCUCACAAUAAAAUCAUUGAUGCUGGGGAAUGCUGAAAAGGAAAUCAGAAUCUCGUGUAAAAGGACAAAGGAGAAGAUAUCAUGGAA